rnacentral:lncRNA from 1 species
GUAGCUCUCUAACCACUUAACAAACUCUUCUAAUGGCCUAAUAAUCUCUGGAACGGCCUCCUAAAUCUUUCUAUAAAUAGAGGGUCAGGGAUCCUUCAUCAGUAAGUCCAGUUCUUUGAAACUAAGGGAGACUCUGUCGGUAGAAAACUGGACCAGAAUCUUGGCUCUUACUCAGUCCUCCUCCAAUUUCAUUCGAUCUCUCUUGCUUUUCUACUUUUUUCCAUCCCUAUUCUUCAGACUGGAACUGACUUAAGUAUCGAAAGAUUAAGAAUCGAAAAAUCCUCAUCCAAUUUUUUGACGGUUUUAUAGAUUGGAAGAGCUCCCAUCGGAUCGCAA